rnacentral:rRNA from 1 species
CGGGGUGAGUAACACGUGAGCAACCUGCCUUUCAGAGGGGAAUAACGUUUGGAAACGAACGCUAAUACCGCAUAACAUUGGGAUAUGGCAUCAUGACCCAAUCAAAGAUUUAUCGCUGAAAGAUGGGCUCGCGCCCGAUUAGGUAGUUGGUGAGAUAAUAGCCCACCAAGCCGACGAUCGGUAGCCGGACUGAGAGGUUGAACGGCCACAUUGGGACUGAGACACGGCCCAGACUCCUACGGAAGGCAGCAG